rnacentral:rRNA from 1 species
UUUUAAUACUAUUAUUUACAAUGAACCCUUUAUUUUUACUGAAUAUUUCUAUAAAGUUAUAGAACCUUUUAUGUUGAAACUAGUAACAAGAAGUUAAACUUCUCCUCAAUAUAAGUAUAAGUCGACUAGGAUAAACCAUCGACAAUUAACGCUUAAAUUAAAUGUAUUAACUCCACAAGAAAAACUUACAUUACCCCACGUUAAUCUUACACCAGAACAUUUAAGGAAAGAUUUAAAAAAAAGGAAGGAACUCGGCAAACAUUAACCCCGCCUGUUUACCAAAAACAUCGCCUUCUGAUAUAUUAUAGAAGGUCCAGCCUGCCCAGUGAAUUAAUUUAACGGCCGCGGUAUCCUAACCGUGCGAAGGUAGCGUAAUCACUUGUUCUUUAAAUGAGGACUAGUAUGAAUGGCACCACGAAGGUUAUACUGUCUCCCUUUUUUGAUCAGUUAAACUAAUCUUCACGUGAAGAAGCGUGAAUAAACAUAUAAGACGAGAAGACCCUAUGGAGCUUAAAAUUACACAACAAUUGUUAAAAAAAUCCUAAAUUUUAUAAAUAAUUUUUUACUAAACACCAUGAUUGCUAAUUUUUGGUUGGGGUGACCGCGGAGUAAAAAUUAACCUCCACAAUGAAAGAAAUCAAUAUUCUAAACUAAGAGCUACAACUCAAAGUAUUAAUAUUUUAACAUUCUUUGAUCCAAUAUUUGAUCAACGAACAAAGUUACCCUAGGGAUAACAGCGCAAUCUACUUUGAGAGCUCCUAUCGACAAGUAGGUUUACGACCUCGAUGUUGGAUCAGGG